rnacentral:rRNA from 1 species
UACGUAGGCAGCGAGGGUUGUUCGGAGUUACUGGGCGUAAAGGGUGUGUAGGCGGUUGUUUAAGUUUGGUGUGAAAUCUCCCGGCUCAACUGGGAGGGUGCGCCGAAUACUGAAUGACUUGGAGUGCGGGAGAGGAAAGUGGAAUUCCUGGUGUAGCGGUGAAAUGCGUAGAUAUCAGGAGGAACACCGGUGGUGUAGACGGCUUUCUGGACCGUAACUGACGCUGAGACACGAAAGCGUGGGUAGCAAACAGG